rnacentral:sRNA from 1 species
GCGGGGUCCUCUGUGAUACGCAGUGGCAAAGGAGACCGCCAGGAAGGCCCCUCCUUCCUCAGGCCGCCGGCAGUGACAGUCAAGAAGCUGCAGAAGUGGAUGUACAAAGGGCGUCUGCUGUCCCUGGGAAUGAAGGGUCGUGCCCGUGGGACGGCCCCCAAAGUCACAGGAACGCAGGCAGCCUCCCCAAAUGUGGGCGCUUUGAAAGUGCGUGAAAACCGUGUCCUGUCGGUGCCUCCAGACCAAAGAAUUACGCUGACAGAUUUAUUUGAAAAUGCCUAUGGGUCUUCAAUGAAGAGAAGAGAACUUGAAGAUCUGAAGGAUAAUAUUGAAUUCAGAGGUCAUAAGCCACUUAACAGCAUCACUGUUUCAAAGAAACGCAAUUGGCUAUAUCAGAGUACUCUGAGGCCUCUUAAUCUGGAAGAAGAAAAUAAGAAAUGCCAAGAUAGAAGUCAUUUAUCCAUCUCACCUGUGUCUCUACCUAAACAUCAGCUAUCACAGUCUUUCCUCAAAUCAUCUAAAGAGUACUGUACAUAUGUGGUAUGUAACGCUACAAACUCUUCAUUAUCGAAAAACUGUGCUUUAGAUUUUAAUGAGGAAAAUGAUGCAGAUGAUGAAGGAGAAAUAUGGUACAAUCCCAUUCCUGAGGAUGAUGACCUUGGUAUAUCAAGUGCCUUGAGUUUUGGUGAGGCAGACUCUGCUGUUCUGAAGCUCCCUGCUGUCAAUUUGAGCAUGUUGUCUGGCAGUGACCUGAUGAAAGCAGAGCAGCAUACUGAAGACUCACUGUGCUCUUCCGAACAUGCAGGUGAUAUUCAGACCACACGGUCAAAUGGAAUGAAUCCUAUAGAUCCUGCCCAUUCCACAGAAUUUGUGCAGCAGUACAAGCAAAAGCUAGGACACAAGACACAAGAAGGUAUAAUGGUGGAGGACAGUCCCAUGUUGAAAUCUCCUUUUGCAGGUUCUGGGAUCCUGGCUGCUACAAAUAGUACUGAAUUGGGAAUUAUGGAACCAUCUUCUCCAAAUCCUAGCCCUGUGAAAAAAGGCAGUUCAAUUAAUUGGUCAUUGCCAGAUAAAAUAAAAUCUCCACGAACUGUGAGGAAACUUUCCAUGAAAAUGAAAAAGUUGCCAGAAUUUAGCCGAAAGCUAAGCGUUAAGGGAACAUUGAAUUAUAUAAACAGUCCAGAUAAUACUCCUUCUUUGUCUAAAUAUAACUGCCGAGAAAUUCAUCAUACUGAUAUUCUGCCCUCUGGGAACACAACCACCGCUGCUAAGAGGAAUGUUAUAAGCCGAUACCAUCUUGAUACCAGUGUAUCCUCCCAGCAGAGCUACCAGAAGAAAAACUCUAUGACUUCUAAGUAUUCCUGCAAAGGUGGUUACCUUAGUGAUGGAGACUCACCUGAACUUACAACUAAAGCUAGCAAACAUGGAUCUGAAAACAAAUUUGGAAAAGGAAAAGAAAUAAUUUCAAAUAGUUGUAGCAAGAAUGAAAUAGACAUUGAUGCUUUUAGGCAUUAUAGCUUUUCUGAUCAACCUAAGUGUUCACAGUACAUAUCUGGGCUCAUGAGUGUACAUUUCUAUGGUGCUGAGGAUUUAAAACCACCUCGGAUAGAUUCAAAAGACGUCUUUUGUGCAAUUCAGGUAGAUUCAGUAAACAAAGCAAGAACAGCUUUGCUCACAUGUCGAACAACAUUUUUAGACAUGGAUCACACUUUCAACAUAGAAAUUGAAAAUGCACAACAUCUGAAACUAGUAGUAUUCAGUUGGGAACCCACUCCAAGAAAAAAUCGAGUUUGUUGUCAUGGAACUGUUGUUCUUCCCACCUUAUUUAGAGUGACAAAGACUCAUCAAUUGGCUGUCAAACUUGAACCUAGAGGUCUUAUUUAUGUGAAAGUGACUCUUAUGGAACAGUGGGAGAAUUCUCUUCAUGGACUAGAUAUAAACCAAGAACCAAUCAUAUUUGGAGUUGAUAUUCAAAAAGUUGUAGAGAAAGAAAAUAUAGGACUGAUGGUGCCCCUUCUGAUACAGAAAUGUAUUAUGGAAAUUGAAAAAAGAGGCUGUCAGGUAUUAUCUUACUAUGGUUCCCUACUACUUCCUUUAUUGAUUGAUUAAUUGUAAGUCUUGGGGGAAGGAAUUCAAGGUAAUGUAAAAAAAUCAAAUUUAGAUAUUUUACCAUUCCUAUUCUUUAUUUUUAUUCCAUUACUGUUUAGGGUAUAAUUUUUAACUUGACUCAUGUUGUCCAUUAUUGAGAGCAUGCUAGAUGAUUCCACAAAUUUAUAUUGCAACACAGAGCUUCAUGGGUCUUAUAAUUAGAAAUCAGGAUUGCUUCAAAAUGGCAUUAAAAGGAAAAGUCAGAGCUGAUAACAUAGGCAAAGGAUAUUGAUUCUUUAUACUAAUUUUUGUGAUACAUAUUAAGACUAAAAAUUACGUUGAGUUAUUUCUGCUUUAGUACUAUCUGAAUUUAUAAUAUUGGUUGAAAAGUUAAGUUAAAAGACAAUGAGUAAAUGUUAUAAAAUCUGAAAUAUUUAUUUAAUAAACUGAAGCUUAACAUGGAAACUAUAGAAACAGCAUAAGUUAAUGGAAUUUUGCAUUAAGAUGCAGAAUACCUGGAUUCUGGUUUCUCCUCCAUUAUUACUUAGCUGUGUCAUGUUGGGCAAGUCACUUAAUCUCUGUGGGUCUUACUUGCUUGUAUCUAUAAAAAUAGAUGGAGUGGCUGGGCAUGGGGGCUCACACCUGUAAUCCCAGCACUUUGGGAGGCCAAGGCGGGCAGAUCACCUGAGGUCAGGAGUUCAAGACCAGCCUGGCCAACAUGGUGAAAACUGUCUCUACUAAAAAUACAAAAAUUAGCCCGACAUGGUGGCGCAUGCCUGUAAUCCCAGCUACUUAGGAGGCUGAUGCAGGAGAAUUGUUUGAACCCAGGAGGUGGACAUUACAGUGAGCCCAGAUUGUGCCACUGCAUUCUAGCCUGGGCGAUAGAGUGAGACUCCGUUGCAAAAAAAAAAA